rnacentral:rRNA from 1 species
GAGUUUGAUCCUGGCUCAGAACGAACGCUGGCGGCAAGCUUAACACAUGCAAGUUGAACGAGAACGCACCUUCGGGUGUUGGUAGAGUGGCAAACGGGUGAGUAACACGUGGGAAUCUACCUUAUAGUACGGAAUAACUAGUGGAAACGCUAGCUAAUACCGUAUACGCCCUUCGGGGGAAAGAUUUAUCGCUAUAAGAUGAGCCCGCGCCCGAUUAGCUAGUUGGUAGGGUAAUGGCCUACCAAGGCGACGAUCGGUAGCUGGUCUGAGAGGAUGAUCAGCCACACUGGGACUGAGACACGGCCCAGACUCCUACGGGAGGCAGCAGUGGGGAAUAUUGGACAAUGGGCUAACGCCUGAUCCAGCUAUGCCGCGUGAAUGAUAAGGCCUUAGGGUUGUAAAGUUCUUUCAGUAGGGAAGAUAAUGACGGUACCUACAGAAGAAGCCCCGGCUAACUCCGUGCCAGCAGCCGCGGUAAUACGGAGGGGGCUAGCGUUGUUCGGAAUUACUGGGCGUAAAGCGCGCGUAGGCGGUCUAGUAAGUUA